GCACAUACAGCCCCUGCCUCAAGGACUCGCCCUUUCCCUUCUGACUCUACAGCGCCCCCUACCUAAUCCUUGACAGCUGUCAAUCAAUUUUUACAAGGGGUUUGAAGGUUUCCUUCUAGAGCUAAGAUGACAGAUCCAUUCCAGGCAUUUUGGUGCAUGGCAGCAUAGAAUUUAGUGCAGUCUACAAUCAACAUCUGAAUUAUCUGCAAACUAACCAUGCAAGGUAUGGAUUUACAAUGCGAAGCAGCCCCAGCCGAAGGGGAUUUGUUUCCCUCUUACCUUGA